rnacentral:rRNA from 1 species
GAUAAACGCUGGCGGCGCACAUAAGACAUGCAAGUCGAACGGACUUAACCAUAAGUUUACUUUUGGAGCGGUUAGUGGCGGACUGGUGAGUAACACGUAAGUAACCUGCCUAUCAGAGGGGAACAACAGUUAGAAAUGACUGCUAAUACCGCAUAUGCCAUAGCCAUCGCAUGGUGGCAGUGGGAAAGGAGAAAUCCGCUGAUAGAUGGACUUGCGACUGAUUAGAUAGUUGGUGGGGUAAAGGCCUACCAAGUCGACGAUCAGUAGCCGAACUGAGAGGUUAAACGGCCACAUUGGGACUGAGAUACGGCCCAG